GGUGAAGGAGUGGAGCUCCUUGAAGUCCAAUAGAGGUUCUUGCCGGGUGAACUGAGCUGCUGAGCUAUGGAUCCCACAGUCCUAUCCUAUUUCAUUUGGGUCUUGGAUAGGUUUGCGGCUUGCAUAUCUCUGGAGCUGUAUUACCUGAUGUUAGGUCCUUUUUUGGAUUGAAGGGAGCUCUACACCUAUCUUCU
rnacentral:pre_miRNA from 1 species